CUGUAUAUAAAGAACCAUUUUGUUGUUUUUCUAGAUCUUGUAGUUGUCCAACUUCUUCUGAAGUCAACGUUGGUUCUUCUUCUUCUUCUGAAGUCAACGUUGGUUCUUCUUCUCCUUCGUCAGCCACAUAAGCGAUGCCAUCCUCAUCGGAUUCAUCAUUGCAACUGCAACAGCAAGAAUUAGUCGAAGUUUUUGCAAGAAAAGCAAGGAUUCCAUUACAAAUAAGAAAGAUUACUUCCUCUCAAGGGUGUGGGUAAAGAUUGACAAAAGCAACGUGGAGAAAUAGGCGUUGAACUGAUUGAAGGGAUCGGGAAGUACACAAAAACCUGAUGAUGUUACAAAAAGAAACAAGGACAACAAAGACACUGAGACUACAAACUUCAAAGUCCUCGUUAUAAACAACUUGGCGUAGUACUUAUUGUCGAUGAAUUUGUCAAAAGCUUGGAGCUUCUGAUCCUCACUACUUUGAUGAUCCAUAUGUAUGUGUGAUUGCUUACAAAUAUUGUGAGUGACGAAGCUAGGGUUACAAGGGAAUGAAUGGCCUUGGUUUUUGUGUGUUUCAGAAUUAGGUUGUUCAAGUAAUUUGAGCUGCUUU
rnacentral:sRNA from 1 species